rnacentral:hammerhead_ribozyme from 1 species
AUCUAACUGAAGAGUCUAAAAUAAAACAAAAACGUAAGUCCUGGAU